rnacentral:piRNA from 1 species
UGGAUUUUAAUUAGAAUAAUU